rnacentral:misc_RNA from 1 species
CCUAGAGUUGUAGGCUUUGCCUGCUAUCUCUUACCCAUGUCUUUUGAGUACCUUCGUUUCCUCGGCGGGUCCGCCCGCCGAUUGGACAAUUUAAACCAUUUGCAGUUGUAAUCAGCGUCUGAAAAAACUUAAUAGUUA